UACGUAGGGUGCGAGCGUUAAUCGGAAUACUGGGCGUAAAGCGUGCGCAGGCGGUUAUGUAAGACAGUUGUGAAAUCCCCGGGCUCAACCUGGGAAUUGCAUCUGUGACUGCAUAGCUAGAGUACGGUAGAGGGGAUGGAAUUCCGCGUAUAGCAGUGAAAUGCGUAGAUAUGCGGAGGAACACCGAUGGCGAAGGCAAUCCCCUGGACCUGUACUGACGCUCAUGCACGAAAGCGUGGGGAGCAAACAGG
rnacentral:rRNA from 1 species